GUUCAGAUUGCAGGCUGCAACUCGCCUGCAUGAAGUCGGAAUUGCUGGUAAUCGUAGGUCAGCAUACUACGGUGAAUACGUUCCCGGGCCUUGUACACACCGCCCGUCAAACCAUGAGAGUUGGCAACACCCGAAGUCGGUAGUCUAACCGCAAGGAGGACGCCGCCGAAGGUGGGGUUGAUGAUUAGGGUUAAGUCGUAACAAGGUAGC
rnacentral:rRNA from 1 species